UACGUAGGGUGCAAGCGUUAAUCGGAAUUACUGGGCGUAAAGCGUGCGCAGGCGGUUGUGCAAGACAGAUGUGAAAGCCCCGGGCUCAACCUGGGAAUGGCCGUUGAAACUGGCGAACUGGGAGUGUGGCAGAGGGGGGUGGAAUUCCGCGUGUAGCAGUGAAAUGCGUAGAGAUCUGGAGGAACACCGAUGGCGAAGGCAGCCCCCUGGGCUAACACUGACGCUCAUGCACGAAAGCGUGGGGAGCAAACAGGG
rnacentral:rRNA from 1 species